GGCAUUGGAUUAUGGGGCUAGGGUAAGGUUUAGGGUUUUGGGGGUUAGGCUUAAAAUCACUGUCCAAGACCUUUUUAGACCAAGACCUGUUUCAACCUUUUUGGAGUGAAUUAGACCAAAAUAAAUUGAAAAAUAAGAACAAAAUGUUUGGGUGUUAGGGCUUCCUUUAGAUAAUACCUGGGUAUUGGGUUUCAGGACUUGGGUAAGGUUUAAGGUUUUUGGGGUCAGGAUUAAUAUCACUGUCCAAAACCUUUGAGGAACAUGUUUUAAACCUUUUGGAGUGAAUUAGACCAACAACAAAAAAAAAAAAAAAUUAAAAAAUAAUUGUUUGGGGUGUUAGGGCUUCCUUUAGGUAAUACUAAAGGAAGUAUUUGGUUAGUAUUGGGUUACAGGGCUAGGGUAAGGUUUAAGGUUUUUUGGGUUAGGCUUAAAAUCACUGUCCAAGACCUUUUUAGGAACAUGUUUCAGAUCUUUUGGAGUGAAUUAUACCGAGAAAAAAAAAGAAAAAUGUCAAAAAAAAUAUUUUGGGCGUUGUUAGGGCCUUUUUAAUGGUAAUACCCAGGAAUUUGGUUAAGGGGCUAGGGUGAGGGUUAGGGUUUCUGGAUAAGGGUUCAUAUCACUGUCCAAAAACCUUUGAGGAUCAUGUUUCAGACCUUUUGAGUUCAUUAGACCAAAAAAUCCGCUCUGACAGCUCUCAUCAGCCUGCUGUGUUCCUCCAACACACAGACACACACACACGCGCGCACAUACGUGGAGUUUUGUUUUCUUUGACGAUGACGUUGACAAAAAUAUUUUCGUCAACGUCAUGGUUGACGAAAACAACACUGGAUUAAUAUCACUGUCCAAUACCCUUUUAAGGUUUUUGGGGUUAGGGUUAAAAUCAUUGUCCAAGACCUUUUUAAGAACAUGUUUCAGACCUUUUGGAGUUAAUUAUACCAAAAAGAAAAACGAAAAAUGUCAAAAAAAAAAAAUUGGGGUUGUAAGGGCUAUUUUUUUAGGUAUUUUUAGGUGUUGGGUUUCGGGUUUUGGUAUUAGGGUUAAAACAAACUGUCCAAGAACUAUUCAGGAACAUGUUGCAAACCUUUUGGAGUUCAUUAGAAAAAAAAAGAAAAAUGUCAUUUUUUUUAAUGUUAGGGCUUCCUUUAAGUAACACCUGGAUAUUGGGUAACAGGGCUGAGGUUAGGGAUAUGUAUUUAGGGUUAAAAUCACUGUCCAACAACCUUUGGGGAACAUGUUUCAAACCUUUUGCAAUUCAUUAGACCCAAAAAAAACAAAAAAUGAAAAAAAAAUGUUCAGGCUUAAAAUCACUGUCCAAAACCUUUUUAGGAACAUGUUUCAGAUCUUUUGGAGUUAGUUAGACCAAAAAAAAAAUGAAAAAAAAAUGUUUGGGGUGUUAAGGCUUACUUUAGGUAAUACCCAGGUAUUGGUUUACGGGGCUAGGGUAAGGUUUAAGGUUUUUGGGGUUAGGGUUAAAAUCACUGUCUAAGACCUUUUUAGGAACAUGUUUCAGAUCUUUUAGAGUUAAUUAUACCAAAAAAAACACACAGAGCUGUGUGAUAAAAGUCAGACCCAGGACAAUGAUGAUCAGACACAACAACAGGAUGCAGACAUAUCUAAUGGUGGUGUUGUUUUGGAGUCCUGCCUUCAGCCACGUGAUGUUUUUGAGGAAAUAUUGUGUUUCAGUGACUCGCGAGAAUACACUGGAUGAAAACAGACCCAUGAAAUUAUCACCCAGUAGUUAUUUUAAAGCAAGGCUCUUUGGUGUUGAUGAUCGCUUUACCAGAGAUACCAACUACCUGUUCUUUGCACAGUUUGUGACAGAGAUACACUUGGCUACCUCCAGCAUGUCCAUACAGUUACACAAAGGCAAACCUUUGACCAGAGACGGACGUAAAAAAACAUUCAGAAUUUUGAGAGACAAAUAUGAAGUGGAGAGACUGGUGAGAAACAGAGAUGCUAUCAGAUUUAUGCAGCCACUCAAGGGAACACCAGCCUACUAGGACAAAACUACAAAAGAUCUGUUUGCUAUGAUCAGGCAGUUGGGCAGUCCUACUUUCUUUGUCACAUUUUCUGCAGCAGAAAUGCUUUGGCCUGAGGUGAUUAUUGCAAUAAAAUCACAACAAGGUGAGGAGGUGACAUUCAAAGUGUGACAUUCUGAGAAGCAAUCCUGCGCAUGUUUGAUAAGUGUGUUGAAGCACUGUACAGAGAUCUGAUCAUGUCUCCUGCACAACCCCUGGGCAAAGUUUAUGACUUCUUUUGGCGUCUCGAGUUUCAGCACAGAGGAAGUCCUCAUAUACAUGGUCUUUUGUGGGUAGAAGGUGCACCUGUGUUUGAGAGAGACUCUGACAAAACUGUGUGUGACUUUGUGUCCAAACACAUCUCUGCUCAGCUCCCUGACCCAAAUAAACAGCCUGAACUGUACAAAAAGGUCAAAGAAGUGCAAAUACACAGUAAGAAGCACUCAAAGACAUGUUUCAAAAGUGCAAGUUCAGGAUGCCGUUUUGGAUUCCCAAAACCACCCUCCAGACGGACAAUGAUAACAAGACCUGUGGAUGAUGAUGAGGAGUCAGAGAGACUUAAGAGAGCCAAAGAGAAACUUGCACCACUGAAUCAGCUGCUGAAUGAGACACAAACUGAAUCCCUGAGUUUUCAACAGCUCCUGUCUGUCUGUGACUUAACCGCUGAUGAGUACGAGAAACACAUGCAUUUGAUGAGUCGGUCAAGCAACAUCCUUCGGAAGCGUGAGCCAAAAGACUGCUGGGUAAACACCUACAACCCUCACCUGCUCAAGGCCUGGGAUGCAAACAUUGAUGUGCAGUUCAUUCUCAGCUACUACAGUCUAAUCCAUUACAUAUGUACGUACAUGUGUAAAAGUGAGAACUCUGUGAGCCAGUAUCUGCAAACACUCAUUCAGAACUCUGAGAGAGAAUGUGUCAAUCAAUCAAUCAAAUCAAUCAAAUUUUAUUUAUAUAGCGCCAAUUCACAACAGUCGUCAUCUCAAGACGCUUUUCAAGGAACAAGAGCAGGUCUGGACCAUGCUCAUUGUUUGAUGAUCAAGAACCAACCUAAGAUGGGUUUUGGCCCAUCUCAACUAACAUGAGUUACAGUGGCAAGGAAAAACUUCCUUUUAACAGGCAGAAACCUUGGGCAGGACCAGCCUCAUGCUAGACAGCCACCAUGCCGCUGCUGGGUUGGGGAGGAAUGUAGAGAGAAGAGGGGAGAGGGGGAGAGGACAGGGGGAGGGAGAGAGACAACAAGAUAGGGGAAAGGCGAGAGAGAAUGAGUACGGAGAGGGAGGGGGAGGGAGAGAGAGUAAGGAACGAGGGUGAGAGAGAGACAGGAGGCAGCAGGAACAACAGCAACAACAACAGCUCAUGUAAUGGUGAAACAAAAUGAGUUCAGUUUACAGGGUUAGGAUAUGAGUGCUAAUGGACAAUGUUGAAUUAAUUGAGUGUGAUUACAGUUAGCAGGCUUAAUCGUAGUCAGUUCUAUUUUGUAUUAUUAAUGGUCUGCAGCAACGGUCCAGAGGAGCCAAAGAGCCAAAGAGCCGGGGUGGAUGCAGCUGGGGUCAGGCAGUUCCACAGCAGACCGUUUGCAGCAUUAGUCCAGCGGCAGCUAAAAGACUCAGAGACACACUCAGAGAGACAGAAAACUGGUCAGUGACUUAUAUGGGACAUAAAGAUAGGAGAUAGAGACAGACUCUAGCUCAGUGUGCCAGAUAGCCCCGGCAGUCUAGGCCUAUAGGAGCAUAACUAAGAGCUGGUUCAAAUCAGCCCUGACUAUAGGCUUUAUCAAAGAGGAACAUUUUAAGUCUACUCUUGAAAGUUGAGAGUGUGUCUGCCCCCCGAACCUCGAGCGGUAAAUGAUUCCAGAGAAGAGGUGCCUGGUAGCUGAAAGCUCUUCCUCCAAUACUACUUUUAGAGACAUUUGGUACAACGAGCAAACCUGCAGACUGUGAGCGUAACGGUCUAGAUGGAAAGUACGGUAUAACUAGCUCGUCGAAAUAUGAUGGAGCCUGGCCAUUAAGCGCUUUAUAUGUCACAAGGAGGAUUUUAAACUCAAUUCUAUAUUUAAUAGGGAGCCAGUGAAGAGAGGCUAAAACAGGAGAGAUGUGCUCCCUUCUUCUAGUUCUAGUCAAUACCCGAGCUGCUGCAUUUUGGACCAGCUGAAGAGUCCUUAAUGACUUACUAGAGCAGCCUGACAGGAGAGAAUUACAGUAAUCCAGCCUAGAGGUUACAAAGGCAUGGACUAGUUUUUCUGCAUCGCUCUGAGACAAUAUGCGUCUAAUUUUUGAGAUAUUGCGCAGGUGGAAAAAGGCUGUCCUGGAAAUUUUUUUGAAUGUGGGAGCUAAAAGAUAAAUCCUGAUCAAAUACAACUCCUAGAUUUCGCACAGUGGGGCUGGAUGCCAGGCUGAUACCAUCAAAUGUAGCUAAAUUACUAGAGAAUGCCUCUCUAAGGUGUUUAGGACCGAGGACCAGAACUUCAGUUUUGUCUGAGUCAAUGAAUGUGAUGAAAUGAAAGUGGUCAUGCAGGCGUAUUCCAAAAAGCGAGAAGUAUCAGCACAAGAAGCUGUUGCCUGAGUGACUUCACUGAACAUGAAAAAGAGUACACGCAGUGUGGUUUUUGUCCCAACUGAUGACAACCCAGUGAAAAUGAGUCUGCCUGUGUCAAGCCUUGACAACACUACACCAGACAGCUUGAAUGUGUGGAUGACAUCCUUAACAGACAAAUACAAAUCCAGACCUGAAACACCAGAGUUUGAAGAGAUGUACAUGGCUGAUUUUACAUCUACCUGCAGACUGGUGUAUGGACAACAGACCAAGGGCAAGAAAGUGUACCCUUGCUGAAUGAACUAGGCUUUAUACAGAGACGAGAAAGUGACAACGCUGCUGUCAUCAGGUAUCGCCGCAUAUCGAAAGAGAAAUACCCUGAGCAGUUUUACGGCACAUUGCAUAUACUGUAUCUUCCAUACAGAUCAGACGAUGAGCUGAAAAGACCAUAUCUUCCCACGUAUGAGUCAUUCUAUAAGAGAGGUGUGGUUCAGCUGCCGUAUUCUGACCAACCCCUGCGUGUGAAACUCAUUGUGAAAAGAAACAGAGAGAGAUAUGAAAAAAACGGUGAGGAAAUUGACUCUGCUCUCGAGGACUUUGAACAGAACAGAGGUGUGGUCGAUGAAUGGUGUAAUUUGGCACCUGAAUCUGAACUGGUGAAGUUGGAGUGUAUCGAUGAACUGGAUGCCUGACAGUGUGAAAAUGUCCAACAGGAUGUACCGGAAUACAGCAGACAAGCUAAUGCUGCUACAGAGGCCAGAGUCAUGAGAGAGCCCCCUACAAUCAAUCCCACACGGUUACGACAAAUGUAUCAGAGUCUGAACCAGAAGCAGGCAUGUGUGUUCUAUGCAGUGAGAGACUGGUGCAUAAAACGAGUCUGUGGACUACAACCAGAGCAGUUUUUCUACUACAUAAAUGGUGGUGCUGGCACUGGAAAAUCACCUCAUUAAAUGCAUUCAUUCAGAAGCAUCAAAGAUACUGAGAACUCUACCUAGACGUGUAGAGGAAGCUGACAUCUCAAACCC